UACGGAGGGUGCAAGCGUUAUCCGGAUUCACUGGGUUUAAAGGGUGCGUAGGCGGGCAGAUAAGUCAGUGGUGAAAUACCUGAGCUUAACUUGGGAACUGCCAUUGAUACUAUUUGUCUUGAAUGUCGUGGAGGUUAGCGGAAUAUGUCAUGUAGCGGUGAAAUGACUUAGAGAUGACAUAGAACACCUAUUGCGAAGGCAGCUAACUACGCGAAUAUUGACGCUGAGGCACGAAAGCGUGGGGAUCAAACAGG
rnacentral:rRNA from 1 species